GGAAGAGGAGGAGUGGGGCUGCCUCCUUACAAACAAGAGUUCUCAAGAGCAUGAGCAUGCUCCUGCUGUGCCUUGCCCCUCGGAGGUCUGCUUCAGUGCACCGACAAACCCAGGGGUUUGACCUGUCAGACUGCCAAAGUGCAAGGUUGGAACACGCUAGCAUCACUCUGGACUAAUCCCCAAACUGCAUUCUCCAGUAUAGCUGCAGAAAAGCUUUCCCUGUAUAUGGACAUGCACAAAUGCUUCUGCUGUGCCAGAGCGCCCCUCUACAGUAUAGAGCAUUCUCUCUGCUGCACACUGAGUCAACACUUUCAACGAGCUAUCCACCACAACCCAAAGAUCUCUCUCCAGGAAAAGAGCAGCAUAUUUUGAUGAUUACAUACUGAAAUCCCCUAAAGCUCUUUGUGUACUAUUGGCCGUAAUCACUGUGAUCCUUGGUUCUUCAGUGUAUCCCUGACUGAAUUUGCAGAGCCAUCUGUGACCCUAUUGCCAUGC